AAAUUUCAAUCAUUUUAUAAAAUUAUAUAAAAUUACAUUCAAAUCCACUUUCAAAUUAUUUAUUACAAAAAAAAAACAUCCAUUUAAAUAAAAUUAUUGUAAUUCAUUUUAAACUUAAUUAUAAACUACAUCUUGAUCUGAUUUAAAUUAAAAUCCAAAUUUUAAAGCAUUAUUUAUCUUAAAAAACACUUUUAUAACAACGAUAUAUAAACUACUAAAUUAAGUAAAUUUAUUCGUGGAAUAUCAAUUACCAAACAAAUUCCUCUAAACAAAUUAAAAUACUGCCAAUUUAUUUAAAUUUCAAAUUAAUAAUUAAUUACUACAACCCUGAUUAAUUAUAAUUAAAUUUAAUAAUGG
rnacentral:rRNA from 1 species